GCCUUAAUUGGUAGAGAGAAGACAAAAUCUCUCAUCUCAAAUCUCCUCUUCUCAUCUCCCAAUUCAAAUCUAGCUUUGUGGCUAAUCAUGCAUGCACCACUUGCGGUUGAAGCUGCCAGCAUGAUCUAAACUUGCCUUAGCUUCCGAUAUUAUAUAUAAGGGAAGAUUGGAUCAUCUGGCAGCUUCAACUGUUGUUGGAUGCAUGGAUUCCAACAGUUUUAAGGAUGUCCAGUGCAGUUAAUCUUAAUGCAAGAAUUGCGUGGUGGCCCGCAGUGCUAGCUCGAGCGGUUGACCAUCUGAUUUAAAGUCAGCACUCUAAUGAUAUGGCAGAGAUAUAACUCCCACCAACACCUAGGAGUUAGGGUUCCUCGGGCUAGAGUUCGGGCUACUGGAGAUUGGACUCAAGUUAAUAGAAGUGUGAAGAUGGAUCCAUUGUGCGCAAAAUCAACAAGAAUUGACUGGAAAGCUGUUUGGGCUACGGGGACAGACUGGGAGAACAACUGGGGUUUAGAAUUAAUCUGAAAUCUGGCAUAAAUUGAGACAGAAAAUGAACAGUUUCUAGUGAAUGGAUACUCUGAGAUAGAGCAAGAAAAAUUGAAUUUGAUUUGGUCAAACUUAUAAAACUUUAGAA